rnacentral:rRNA from 1 species
AGAGUUUGAUCCUGGCUCAGAACGAACGCUGGCGGCGUGCUUAACACAUGCAAGUCGAACGAGAAAGGUUCCUUCGGGGACCGAGUAAAGUGGCGCACGGGUGAGUAACGCGUAGAUAAUCUACCCUCUUGUCCGGGAUAACAUCGGGAAACCGGUGCUAAUACCGGAUAUCUUCAAUGCCUGCAGGGGCAUUGAGGAAAGGUGGCCUCUGAUUCAAGCUUCCGCAAGGGGACGAGUCUGCGUACCAUUAGCUUGUUGGUGGGGUAACGGCCUACCAAGGCGACGAUGGUUAGCGGGUCUGAGAGGAUGAUCCGCCACACUGGCACUGGAACACGGGCCAGACUCCUACGGGAGGCAGCAGUGAGGAAUAUUGCGCAAUGGGGGAAACCCUGACGCAGCGACGCCGCGUGAGUGAGGAAGGCCUUCGGGUCGUAAAGCUCUGUCAGGAGGGAAGAAGUGUUAUACGGUUAAUACCCGUAUAGCUUGACGGUACCUCCAGAGGAAGCACCGGCUAACUCCGUGCCAGCAGCCGCGGUAAUACGGAGGGUGCAAGCGUUGUUCGGAAUCACUGGGCGUAAAGGGCGCGCAGGCGGUUUGUUAAGUCAGAUGUGAAAGCCCACGGCUCAACCGUGGAAGUGCAUUUGAAACUGGCAGACUUGAGUACCAGAGGGGGAAGUGGAAUUCCCGGUGUAGAGGUGAAAUUCGUAGAUAUCGGGAGGAAUACCGGUGGCGAAGGCGACUUCCUGGCUGGAUACUGACGCUGAGGCGCGAAAGCGUGGGGAGCAAACAGGAUUAGAUACCCUGGUAGUCCACGCCGUAAACGAUGUCAACUAGGUGUUGGGGGUGUUGAUCCCCUCAGUGCCGCAGCUAACGCAUUAAGUUGACCGCCUGGGGAGUACGGUCGCAAGAUUAAAACUCAAAGGAAUUGACGGGGGCCCGCACAAGCGGUGGAGUAUGUGGUUUAAUUCGAUGCAACGCGAAGAACCUU